CAGUCGCCGCGGUAAAACGAAGGGUGCAAGCGUUAAUCGGAAUUACUGGGCGUAAAGCGCGCGUAGGUGGUUUGUUAAGUUGGAGGUGAAAUCCCCGGGCUCAACCUGGGAACUGCCUCCAAAACUGGCUGACUAGAGUACGGUAGAGGGUGGUGGAAUUUCCUGUGUAGCGGUGAAAUGCGUAGAUAUAGGAAGGAACACCAGUGGCGAAGGCGACCACCUGGACUGAUACUGACACUGAGGUGCGAAAGCGUGGGGAGCAAACAGGAUUAGAUACCCCAGUAGUCCCUGUCUCUUAUAC
rnacentral:rRNA from 1 species